AAUGCUUUCAACUCGAAAAUUUCAUAAGGGGUACCCCUUGCCAUUUUUUUGAGAAGUUUUGCAAAAAAAAUUAAAUUGAUUUAUUUUAAUGCCAAUUGGUUGCAAUGAGUUUCUUUUCACUCAAAUAAUGCUUGAAACAAAAAAAAAGAGUAAAAAAUAAUAAAAAAUGUGAAAAAUCUAUAAAUUUGAAAAUUUCAUAAGGCUCAUUUUUGCCCCAAGUUUUGCCUAUAACUCGGUCGGUAUCCAACGGAUCGCCAAUCUUUAACUUGUGGUCGAUAGAUGGCACCAAUGGCUACAUUUUCUUCUUGGACGGCCAUGCCCUCAGAUGUCUGUGCCAAAAGUUAUGCGAGGAAUCAAGUUGCUUACCCUGUUUAAGAAAAUGUAAAAUUUUCCUCAUUUUUCUGCAAUUCAGCAAAAUUUUUAAAUGUGAUAUUUUUUAUUGCGAAUUUGUUGCAAUAAGUUUCUUUUCACUCAAAUAAUGCUUUAAAUUAAAAAAAGAAUAAAAAAUGAGAAAAAAAAUUUCAAAAAAUUUUCAACUCGAAAAUUUUAUAAGGGGUACCCCUUGCCAUUUUUUUGAGAAAUUUUUCAAAAAAAAAUUAAAUUGAUUUAUUUUAAUGCCGAUUGGUUGCAAUGAGUUUCUUUUCACUCAAAUAAUGCUUGAAACAAAAAAAAGAUAAAAAAUAAUAAAAAAUGUGAAAAAUCUAUAAAUUUGAAAAUUUCAUAAGGCUCAUUUUUGCCCCAAGUUUUGCCUAUAACUCGGUCGGUAUCCAACGGAUCGCCAAUCUUUAACUUGUGGUCGAUAGAUGGCACCAAUGGCUACAUUUUCUUCUUGGACGGCCAAGCCCUCAGAUGUCUGUGUCAGAAGUUAUUCGAGGAACCAAGUUCCUUACCCUGUUUGAGAAAAUGUAAAAUUUUCCUCAUUUUUCUGCAAUUCAGCAAAAUUUUUAAAUGUGAUAUUUUUUAUUGCGAAUUUGUUGCAAUAAGUUUCUUUUCACUCAAAUAAUGCUUUUAAUUAAAAAAAGAAUAAAAAAUGAAAAAAAAAAUUUCAAAAAAUUUUCAACUUGAAAAUUUCAUAAGGGGUACCCCUUGCCAUUUUUUUGAGAAAUUUUUCAAAAAAAUUUAAAUUGAUUUAUUUUAAUGCCAAUUGGUUGCAAUGAGUUUCUUUUCACUCAAAUAAUGCUUGACACAAAAAAAAAGAGUAAAAAAUAAUAAAAAAUGUGAAAAAUCUAUAAAUUUGAAAAUUUCAUAAGGCUUAUUUUUGCCCCAAGUUUUGCCUAUAACUCGGUCGGUAUCCAACGGAUCGCCAAUCUUUAACUUGUGGUCGAUAGAUGGCACCAAUGGCUACAUUUUCUUCUUGGACGGCCAAGCCCUCAGAUGUCUGUGUCAGAAGUUAUUCGAGGAACCAAGUUCCUUACCCUGUUUGAGAAAAUGUAAAAUUUUCCUCAUUUUUGAGCAAUUUAGGAAAAUUUAUAUAUGUGAUAUAUUUAAAUGCGAAUUUGUUGCAAUAAGUUUCUUUUCACUCAAAUAAUGCUUUUAAAGAAGAAAAGAAUAUAAAGCAAAAAAUAAAUAUAAAAAAUUCAAAAAAUUUGAAAAUUUCCUAAGGCUAUAACUAGUGGUUCAAGAGCGAAAGAGGUAUUUCAAUCGCUCCGGUCAUCUUACUUUGCGCGCUCCCGCACAGCUCACGGGAAAAAGAUGUAGCCGUAUCGCAGGAAUCGCUCCUGGGAGCGCAUAGCACAAUCGCUCCUGUGUACAGCGCUCCGUGUGGAGCUACCUCAAGCGCACCGCACACUUUAGAGAGCGAGAGCGGUGAAAAGGAAAAGCCUUAGCAAAUUUUCAAAUGGGAGCGCAUCGCACAAUCGCUCCUGUGUGUAGCGCUCCGUACGGAGCUACCUCUUUUUCCCGUGGGCUAUGCGGUAGCGCGCACAAUAAGAUGAGCGGAGCGACACUAGAGGAGAGAUUUCGUUCGAAGAAGAACGAAACUUUUCACUCAAUUCAAUUGUUAGACACAUACCCCCUCUUAAGAUUUUAACUUUCUUAGUUGAAGCAUGUAUAGGGGGUCUACUAUACCUGGUAAAAGUGUAAUAUAAUGUUUUAAAAGUUAAUUUUGUCCAUACAUUUUGUGCAUUGUGGCCCAUUGUGCAGAUAGAGCAAAAAUCGCGAGCUGCAGUUACGCAUCGUGUAAAGACACCCUUACAAAGCAGAACUCCUCACACCGAUUUACAUUGAGACAUUUUUUGUUUUCCCCUUC